AUGUCUUUACUCUCAAAGGCCUUCGAAGCUUGAUAAGGAGGUGGUUCUAAAAACUGUGGGAUAGGCUCUUCCGAUGUUUUCUGUGAAUGUAUUUUUGCUGCCGUUUAGUACUUGUGAAACGCUUUAGCAAUUAAUGAAUGGUUUUGGUGGGGGUGCUAAUAUGGGAGACAUGUUAUGGAUUCGAUAAGCAUUUUGGGAUCGACUUUGUGUGGCUAAAAAAUAUGGUGGUAUGGACUUUCGUAAUCUCUACUAUUUUUUAACUUGGCUAUGCUGGACAAGCAAUGUUGGCGGAUUCUUGAGAAUCCAAAUUCUCUCAUGGCUCAGAUUGUCAAAGCUAGAUACUUCCCGAGGGAGGAUUGGUUUAUGACUACGUUGGGUACAAAUCCCUUAUUUGUUUGGCAUAGUCUUUGCAUGGCUAAGGAUUUAUUUAUAAGGGGUUAUCCUUGUAGAUUUGGGGAUGGUGCAUCCAUACAUGUUUUUUUUUUCUAAUCCAUGACUUACUGAUGAUUCCACCUAUUUUAUCGAAUCAGCUCCUUUAACAAGCAUGUAGGACUUGAUUGCCAAAGACCUGCUUGAUGUCAAUGGCAUGGCUUAGGAUAAGGACUUUGUUGAGGGAUUUAUGGGCCAAUUGAUAUUGCUAGAAUUUUGAGAGUACCGGUCAGACCAUUUUCAAGGCCAAACAAGCUAAUUUGGCAUUCUGAAUCGCUACACAGUCAGAGAUGCUUGCAUAAUCAUAUUCGGACUUGUUACCGCUUAUAUGAGAAGGGUUGUUUAGUGCCGAUACACUGUGUUCAAUGUGGUGAGACGGAGGACUUAGAUCACUUUUUAUUACACUAUUCAGCUACGGUAGGGGUCUAGGCUACUAUUGUCAUUGCACCUUCGGCGACGAUUUUUAAGGGCUGGCUUAGUUUGUUGUUGCAAGCCGGGGACGCGGUUGUAUUUCAGCAGGUGGCAGUGCUUCUUUGGGGCCUUUUGUUUUUUCAGAACCAACAUGUUUGAAAGGGUGAGCAGGCUUCCCUGCAACAUGUUUGAAAGGGUGAGCAGGCUUCCCUGCAACAUGUUUGAAAGGAUAAGAUUUUUUAUCCUUAUAUUUCAUAUUCUAUUAAGAUAGAUUAUAUAUACCAAAUUUUGAAUAAAAUAAAAUUGCUUGAUUAUUUA